AACGAACGCUGGCGGCAUGCUUAACACAUGCAAGUCGAACGAGACCUUCGGGUCUAGUGGCGCACGGGUGCGUAACGCGUGGGAAUCUGCCCUUUGCUACGGAAUAACUCAGAGAAAUUUGUGCUAAUACCGUAUAAUGUCGUAAGACCAAAGAUUUAUCGGCAAAGGAUGAGCCCGCGUAAAGAUUAGCUUGUUGGUGAGGUAAAGGCUCACCAAGGCGACGAUCUUUAGCUGGUCUGAGAGGAUGAUCAGCCACACUGGGACUGAGACACGGGCCCAGACUCCUACGGGAGGCAGCAGUGGGGAAUAUUGGACAAUGGGCGAAAGCCUGAUCCAGCAAUGCCGCGUGAGUGAUGAAGGCCUUAGGGUUGUAAAGGCUCUUUUACCUAGGGAUGAUAAUGACAGUACCUGGAGAAUAAGACUCCGGCUAAACUCCGUGCCAGCAGCCGCGGGUAA
rnacentral:rRNA from 1 species